UCCACUGGUUAAUUUUGUUUCUGUUACUGUUUCUUUUGUUUCGAUGCUAAUUGUUGAUAUUUUGUGUUCGUUUUCAUGGAUUUGGGAGCAAAUGCUGGAGUGGAGGCGAAAGAUUGUAUCAAGAUCAAGGAUAUGGCAUUCAAGGCCUCGGGAACCUACAAAAACUGCAAGCCGUGUUCGAGGCUGUGUGGCGACCACCGGAACGGGAACUGUUCGGACUCUGAUAUGUCAGCAAAGUGAGUUUGUGAUGUGAACUGAAUUAAUUUGUAUACUGAUGCAUUUGAUUGCAAGAUAUUCAUGGAAAUGAUGUAAAGCUAAGUGAGAACAGUGGCAAGGUUCUUCUGAUUGUGAAUGUUGCUUCAAAAUGUGGUUUAACAUAAUCCAACUACAAGGAAUUGAAUAUUUUGUAUGAAAAGUACAAAAAAAAAGGCCUGUGACUACUUGCAGAAAUCUCAUACAUUAUUUAAUUCAUGUGUUUCAUUCUUAUCCGUGAAACUUUGGUUUUCUUUUUCUUGCAGGUUUUGAGAUCCUGGCAUUUCCUUGCAACCAGUUUGCAGGACAAGACGUUUCCUGGAAUGAGGAGAUUCAGGAAGUUGCAUGUACGAGGUUGAAAGCUGAAUUUCCAAUCUUUGACAAGGAAGAAUGAGGCUCCCCUUUACAAGGUCUUAAAAUUGGAGAAAGGUGGUCUCUUUGGAAAUGGCAUCAAAUGGAACUUUACCAAGUUUUUGGUAAACAAAGAAGGGAAGGUUGUGGAGAGAUAUGCUCCCGUGACAGCACCUCUCAAAAUUGAGAAAGACAUCCAGAAUCUAUUGGAAUCUUCUUGAGUAUCAAGGUUUGACAGGUUUCCUUAAGAAAGGAUUACUAUUUAGUUGCAUUAGUGUGAACCUUUUACUUUCUCUUGAAAACAAUUCCUAGGUACCGAC